UUAUAUUUUUGUAUGUGUAUUUAAAAUAUUUCACAUUUAAACAUUAUGAUAUUUGAUAUAAUCAAUUGAAAUAUUUCACAUAUAAAAGUGUUUGAAAUGUCAUACCUGUAAUAGGCCAAUUUGCCCGGGCCCAAAAGCACAAACACAGAUAAACCAAAAAAAAAUAAGCAGUCCAUUUUACAUGUCCAUUUACAGACUUUAGGCCCAAUACAAACUAACCCAAUGUAUAGCCUAACACCAGCCAAAUUCUACCCUGACCCAAUACAAAAGACCCAAGUCACCUAACCCUAACCCAAAACUCUAGCCCAGCCCAAAACCCAACUCAGCCCCAAACACCGAAAACCCUAACAGCAGCAGGAGCCUCCUGCGCCGCUGCCACGCACGCCUCUCCCCAUGCGCGUGGUGCCACGUCCGCUGCCUCCGUACGCUAGCUGGCCUCCGUACCUGCAGGAGACGAACAAACAAGCAGAAAAGUAGACCACAACGGCAAAAGGAGCAGCAAUUGACAGAAAUAGGGGCAGUAAAUAUAAAAAUUGUAAAAAAAUUUUAUUUCUUUGUCUCUAUUCAGCUAUAAAAAAGGGGCCGAUUGAACUUUGUAAGGGGGACGCAUAUUGAAAUACAAAAGAAAUUCAAAGAAAAAAGGGGAAUACUCGUAAGGUGAUUCAAAAUCCUCUCUUCGCCUUUCUCUGUUUUUCUUUAGUUCUAUUAUUCAUUUUUAGUGUAGAAAUAAAAAAGAAUAAGACUAGAAAGAUAGGAGUUCACCUGGAGGCCAGAUCUUUGUUCCCUCCGUCGUAAUCGGGGUCGAACGGAGGUUUGGAGGGUUGAUGAACGACGAUUCGGCGAGCAGCGCAAAGGGGAGAGUUUAGGUUUAGUUUUUAAGUGAGGGUGUUAGAUUUUUUAGGUUUAUUUAGGUUUUAAACACGGGACUAAAACAUCGCCGUUGGAUGCUAGCGUAAUAGCUUCAAAACGGUGUCGUUUGGUGACCAGAUCCAGGCGGUGACUCGAUCCGAGGUGGGAUCCGCACAUACUGGGCUAAUUGGUCUAUUUGCUAAAUAGGUCCUUGUGUGUUUACUGAAACUGCGUUUUAAUUUUUUUAAUUGUUUGUAAUUUGUACGGCAUAUUUGAUAUCGUUUUCAUUUAGAUCCAAGCUUAAACGGCGUCGUUCGGUGCCGAGACCCGCGCGGUGACCCGACUCGAGGGUAGGAUCCGCGUACAUGGGUUCUUCAGUUUAUUUACGCAAUAAGUCCUUUUUUUUCUUGUGUUGUUUCAAUCUGAUUUUGUUUAUUUUUUUUAAUUUGUACCGCACAUCUGGCUUCGAUUUCAUUUUGAUCAAUUUUUAAACGGUGCCGUUUGCAACGCUCGAUUGUAAUUAUUUUAUUGCUCACGUUUAAUUGCUAGUUUAGUCCUUCAAUGUUGAAACAGAUUCCGAUUUAAUACAAAUUUAGAUUUCUUUUUAAAUUCAACAACAUCUUUAAUUAUAAUUAACCCUACUAUAAUAUUAUUUGUAAUAUUUAAUUUUAAUAGUAUUUAAAUUUUUAUUAUUAUAGUUUAAAAUGUA
rnacentral:lncRNA from 1 species